AAACAUUUAUCUGUAGCCGCCACAAGAACCGAAAACAGAAAACCCUAUAAAUCCAUAAACCCUAUAAAGCAAAUGCAUUCACCACGAGUUGGUAGAUGAUAUCGAUUGGCUUUUCAGGCAUUGUGCAAAUUAAGUUAUCCUCAACGAUAAGCUGGCAUUGAAGAUGGAUAUGUGAAGGUUGCUAUUGGAAGUCUGUCCUACUGCCUUACCAGAUUGAUUCCAGAAUCUUAUUCCGGGCUUUGGUGUUGGUGUUAAAAAAAGGCUUAAGAGGAUAAUUUCAUAUUGAUGCUUUGUUACAAAUUUCGGGCAAUGAAAAUUCAUAUUUGGUUCUGAUCUAUAUGAUUUAUGGUGGUGGAAUGGAUAUUUGUAGACCUGACCUGAUUAUUUACUAUAAUAUUGAUAUGAGAACACAAACUCAAUGCCAAUUGUCUAAUCAUAGAUAUGGAAGAAUGGUGGGUUCCUUAGGGAAGCUUGAUCCACAUCGGAUCUGGAUGAAAAAUAAAUAGAUAGUUAGUCUCAUCUAAUAACGUAAGCCUUGGAGUCCGAUAACAAACUACCCAUCCGUUACAUGUGGUAUUAGAGUUAGACCUAGUUUUUGAUUUGAUGUCAUGCCAAAUGCCUGGCCCGAAGGGUGUCCAGGUUUGCAUCCCGAGUAGAAAGGAUGGCUCGUGAGGAGCUUGUCUCACAUUAGAUUCAAAUGAAAAAAAUGAAUGGGUAUCCAUUGGUUGAGUAUUAGUCCACCUAAUAAUUUAAAUUUUUGGAUUCGAUAGGGAGAUUUCAACUUUCUUAAUUCUCAUUAAAAAAACAAAAUUCUCAUAAUUAGCAACUAGGUUUUCAAAAUUUUAAUUUAAUAUAUCUAUAUAUAUCCAAGCACAUUAUACAAGAGUGGGAUUAGAGAAAAUUUGAGAUCAGCGACCUAACCUUAAAGUUCAAAGAAGACAUAUAGUCACCAACCUAAAAAAUAAAACAUGCUAAUGGUGAAUAAUUUUGAACAUUACUCGCGUCCUCCCUCAUGCAACAAUAAUUUUGUACAACACUAGUGAGAUGUACAGCGUCCCCCCAUAACACAUCAUCAUAAUUUGAUAAUUGUAUCAAUUUACCCACACAUCAAUGGUGAGAUUUACCCAGAUUUACCCACACAUAAAUUUGAUAAUUGUAUCAAUUUACCCACACAUCAAUGGUGAGAUUUACCCACACAUAAAUGGUGUGAGCUAGACCCUCUGUAAAAAUUUCUUUACGCGGCUGUUGCUUAGCUCCACAAAAGUCCAAGCAGUCCCAGCAGCAUCUGCUCAUUUGCGCUCUCAAGUGCCAUCUACCGGUGACCCCCUUUCGAAGAAGAAGAUCCUGAACGGCAGGACGACGUCGUCGUCUUCGUAAUACGGAAUCGCGUUGCGGGUGAAUUGUGCACCUGCUAUACCCAAUCGGCUUUCUUCACAUCACGUGCCAGUUUGCUUUCAUGGCGCAAAUCUGUGAGAUAUGGGAAAAUGGUUUUUGUUAUGCAUCAAUUGAUGUUUAUUCAGUGCAUUUCCACCCCCAAAACUUGAUUUCAACUACGAGAAUCAGUAGUGGAGACAAAACAAAAUGAAUGAGUGUUAAACAGGUAAUUCACCAGGAAAAUAAAAGAUGUGGAACAGGGUCCAGUAACUGUGGCAGAUAAAAGAUGUGGAACAGGGUCCCGUAACUGUGGCAGAUAAAAGAUGUGGAACAGGAUCCCGUAACUGUGGCUGGAAAAAACCAUGGAAAAUAACAGAAUUGGAAGGGAUGUUAGAAAAGGAGAAAGCAGAGUUCGAGGAAUCACUCCAGAAAAUCUUGAACAGGAAGGCAAAAAAGGGCCAACCUGUCAUUGAUAUCCUUGAGAUUUGACAUUAAUCGACAGCAAAGGCAGUUGUUCUUCCAGUCUGAUAUGUGGGACCACCGCCUGAUUUAUAUAGCCAGUAUAGACAGCAACAGCCUUCCAGAUGAUUUGAGUGGCUCCAACUCAGAACAGGUAAAGAAAUCCCUCUGUGCUAAUGAGAAGCUCAAUGAGAUGAGUAUGCCGGCAAUGGUUUAUGUAGUUGCGACUCUAUUGUUCUGGAUUCAAAGCCCAAUGAAAGUCAUAAUCUGGGAGGAAGAAUUAUUAGGCACACUAACCAGACUGAGAUAAUUCAUCAAGGGAAUGAAUUGGAUUUAGACUCGAAUCAUGAAAAAGAAAACUGAGCUAAUCUUUCUACUGAUACAAACAUUGGUGAUGAAUCUGAUCCUCUGGAAUUUAAUGAAAUUUAUCAUAGGGCCCUCUCUGAGGGGCAAUACCUUAUUAUGGCAUCUUUGUCAGACACUCUUGAUGGACUGGUGAAAAUCCCUCAGGAAUGGGAAUGCCCAAGGUUAAUACUUGUACAGCUCCUGCAUCUGCUGUUUCAGAUUCUUCAACUGCGGUAGCAGUGGUAGGAAAAUUAGAUUUGAGAAAUCAUGAAGAGGACCAGAGAAGGCCCAAGGCAUCACACAUUGGCAUAUUCCCAGGCAUCACAUAUUGGCAUAUUCCCAUUCUCCUUUGUCCACCAUAAACUUGUAUCGUUUGUUAUGAAUAUUCUAGGGAGUACUCAGAAGCUGGAUGCACUUAGUGAGCAUCUAUGUCUCAUCAUUUCAGCAGUUACAGCUCCAAGGAAGAGCUAGGUUGCUUUUUCCUGUGGAUGUUAAUGAACGCUGUUGUUCCUGUUAUGAUGAUGACCCCACCAGUGUUAUAUCUUAUGCACUGGCAUCACCAGAUUAUCUUGUUCAACUGUCUGACGAACCUGAAAGACCACAAGACACGGGAAUUUAUGGUUCCACUACAGUCCCUUGAUUCAGUGAACUUUCAGUCUUUCCAUUUCUUUGAUGACGAGAGCAUCUUAUCCCUGUCUGGGUCUUGUAGCUCCCUUGUCUGGAUCGACUCUUUUACACAGAGGCUCUGCAUGCGAGAGUUUCUUUUGAAGAUGAUGGCCCCUUGGUUAGGUGAAAUAUACAGUUGACUUGUUCAUGCAAAGCUGGUUGAAGCCUUGAGGAGGUUAUGGAUUUCAUAAGGUCACUUAAUCGUCAGAAGCGGGGCAAUAACAAUGUCUUCUUUUAAGAAACCAUGGAUGAUAAUUUUAUUCUAUACAACUUCCAAAGAUAGAGCUGGAAUCAUUGAUAUAGUUUGCUCCUGGAUAUUUCAAGUAUUUAUCUGAAUCAAUUGGCAUGGGAAGCCCCACACACCUGGCAAAGAUUCUGGGGAUUUAUCAGGCUAUCAAUGUAAUUGAUUAUUCAUUCCUGGUCGUGGUGGAUCGAAGAGAAGUAUGAGCCUAGUGAUCAUCGGUUUCAUGAGACAAUAUGCAUAGGACAAGCAUCUUAAAACAUGGAUUAAGGCUUCAGGUAGCUUGGUGGGGCAAAGAACUGUUCUCCAACGGUAAUUUCACCCCUGCAAUACAAGAAAAGGUUCAAGAAAGCUGUGACUACCUAUUUUCUUAUGGUCCCUGAUCAGUGGUCCACUUCAACUAUCAUUCCAAGUAAGUCCCGCACUAAUCUCUGUGAAGAGAACUCUCAUGGUAGGACCCUCAGUUGAGUGAUACAGUAAAUCUGUGUGCUUGUACAUUUGAGCAAACGAUUUGGGAAUCAUUCUUCCCAUAUCAGAUUUCACUCAGUCUUGUGUUUUCCUUCUUCCAUAUUGCAAUUUUUUUGGAUAGCAGUUUCAUUUGUAUUCUUCUUAAAUUGAGAAUCACUAUUGUUUGUCAGAAGAUACAAAACAAGUCUAUCAAAUGCAAAGCCAUGAGAAUUUCCCCAAGAUAUUAUCUUUAGAUGAGCUCCCCAAAAAGUUUUGUAUCUAGCAUUGCAUUAUGUAUAUAAAUUACAAUGAUACAAGUGUUCCUUUCUAUGUAUUCUAUGAAAAUUUUGUAGUCAACAAUACGCGGGAUACAACUUUUUGUUUGAAUACUUUCUCUGUAAAGUUAGGGUUGAUUGAGAAAUGGAUAAGCUUCCAUUCUUGGAAUCGUUAAGAAAGUUGGCUGGUCAGUUACAUCGCUUUUGUUACACUGAUGGAGUCUUGGAGGUAGCACAGAUAAGGCUUCUUCUAGGGAAGUAGGUAGAAGAUGUUUUAAGUGAAUUUCUAGGUUUAAUGGUUCUGUAUCUCUUAUUAACAGUCAAUAUUAAUGAGGAAUCACAACACUAUCCAGUUGGUACUUAUAGGUGAAACCAAACUGGUUAUAUAACUUGAAAACAAAGCAUGUUGGUUGAUCUCUGCUCAUCUUGGCAGAACACGUCAUAUCCACUUCUCUGAAAAAUGACAUGAAAUUGAAACA